rnacentral:lncRNA from 1 species
CUUCUGGUGUAAUAUGCAGUCUCCAGCUUUGCUCAGUUCCCGCCACUGACCUCAGUCUCCAAAGCAAGAAGAACAACCCACCAGCCCAUGGGCAGAAAUCCUGCCACCUCGGGGCUGGUUUACAAGGCCUGGUGUGCUCAUUCAUUCACCUGCCUGGCCCUGCAGGGCAGUGGUUUUGCUCUCCACUUUAGACUGGCUCUCCCAUUUUAUGGGCCAAGAGGGGUGGGAUGUUCCCAGCGCCACUCAGCCAUGCUGUCUGCCCCAUGUGGCCCUUCCUUUCCCUGGCAUCACUCCUCUGCCCCCACCUGCCCCUCCAUAUGCCAACCAUCAGCCCUGACCCUGUUUCAGGCCAGGGCUGUUCUCUCCAACCCACGACCGUCCUGGAUUCCUCUCACUCAGAGAAGCUGAGGUCAGGUGGGUGGGGCAAGGUGAGCCCCUGGCACCAGCUCUUCCCUGCAGGGUGUGCAGGACCUUUGUGGAAGCCACAGAUUUGGCUGUUUUAAGAACAAAGAGCUGGCUUUUUAAUUAUGCAGCCCAGACAGGCUCCCCGCAGGUGGGUGGAGAGGGAGCUCCCCAGGGCUGCCUAGCAGACGCCCUGAUUUCCACUCCUUGAAGUGGCCACUUGGAGAAGGAACCAGCAAGCAAUCAAGCAUGAAGGACAGAAAAACUCUCCAGGAAACCACGUGCCCCUGUCUAGUUCCAUGGAUUUCAUGGGGCAGGAGGAAGUUGGGAUGUAGGGGAAGUUCUGGCAGACAGGACGAGGAGGCAGACAGAUCACCUCUUCAGGACCGCAGGGGAUUGUCAGCAAGAGAAAAAGGGAGACAAAUUCAGGGGGGCGCUGGGAGGCCAGGUGGGCGUGUCUUCACCUUCCCUCUUACGGGUGAGGAUGUUGUAGAGAUGCCCAGUUGAAAAGGCCCCUGGGAGCCCUGGAAGAUGGUGGCGCAUAAACCUCGAAGAGAGGCAUCCACAGCCCUCCCUGAACCAGGUGAGUGUGCAGAGUUCAAAAGUCUCCAUGGGCGUUCAGGAACACGUACAGAGGCUGCAGUCAGGAGGAGGAGGCUGCUUCGAGCCUGGACAUUUGCAACUGGAGUGAUGGGGGCAGGGGUCACCCUUCGCCUAGAAAAGCCCAGGCACAGCCCCACAGUCACCUGUCCAGGAAGCAGCCCAGGCCAGCCCCUCUGCAGCAGAGACCUGUGAGAACCCAGAAGAUGCCGUGUGGCCUGAGCCCAGCUCCCCUGCACCAGGCUACAGAUAUCUGCUCAGGGGUGCCUGCGGGUGCUUCUUACAGGGAGCAGCCCAGGAAGAUGCCUCAAUGACUAAGGGUCUAUCUACAAGACCCAGAGUCACCCAAAAGACUCUGGUCAAACCAGAAGAGGCUGCAAUGCCAUCAAUCCACAAAUUCAGGGUUUUUAUUCCUCUCCCCCCUCACACCCAGUGAGGCAGGGACUCUGGACAGUUAUAUGAAAUAAAAUGCUAUUUUUUCCUUUAU